rnacentral:rRNA from 1 species
AGCGAACGCUGGCGGCAGGCCUAACACAUGCAAGUCGAACGAACCUUUCGGGGUUAGUGGCGGACGGGUGAGUAACACGUGGGAACGUGCCUUUAGGUUCGGAAUAACUCAGGGAAACUUGUGCUAAUACCGAAUGUGCCCUUCGGGGGAAAGAUUAAUCGCCUUUAGAGCGGCCCGCGUCUGAUUAGCUAGUUGGUUGAGGUAAUGGCUCACCAAGGCGACGAUCAGUAGCUGGUCUGAGAGGAUGAUCAGCCACAUUGGGACUGAGACACGGCCCAAACUCCUACGGGAGGCAGCAGUGGGGAAUCUUGCGCAAUGGGCGAAAGCCUGACGCAGCCAUGCCGCGUGAAUGAUGAGGGUCUUAGGAUUGUAAAAUUCUUUCACCGGGGACGAUAAUGACGGUACCCGGAGAAGAAGCCCCGGCUAACUUCGUG